UCCUGACUGCCUAGCACCACACCUUCAAGAUCAUAUAAAAACAUUAAAAAAAUGGAAGAGGCAAUGAGGAAUGACGGAUUAAGCUUCCUUGCCGUAGGACUGAUAAAACGCUAAUGGACAACUAUUCUACUUUGUUUACAGAUCUCUGAGGGAUUUUCUACGUGACCAGCAAUUCUCAGGCCAGGAUACAAAACUAAAAUAUAAAUAUUGUAUAAAUAUGAUAUUUCUAAAUUACUAAGUUUUUCAACGUGUAGAAG